GACAGAGGGUGCGAACGUUGCUCGGAAUCACUGGGCGUAAAGCGCGUGUAGGCUGACGAUCAAGUCAGGUGUGAAAUCCCUGGGCUCAACCCAGGAACUGCAUCUGAAACUGGUUGUCUUGAGUACUGGAGAGGGAAGCGGAAUUCCAGGUGUAGCGGUGAAAUGCGUAGAUAUCUGGAGGAACACCGGUGGCGAAGGCGGCGAUUCUGGACUGCAACUGACACUGAGGAACGAAAGCCAGGGAGCAAACGGG
rnacentral:rRNA from 1 species